CUCGGAGGUGCGGAGUGGGAACUCGGAGGGGACCCUGGGAAGCCCCGGUGCUUUCCCCGGCGACCGCUUAGCCGCUCCUGAACUCGGCUUCCAGUGGGGCCACCACUGAAACCGGCGACCGUUUCCGCCUCGCUGCCUGCCGCUCGGAGUGUACUAUUUCUUGAACCUCCUGUCCGCGGGCCGCAACAUCUAGAUCGUGGAAGAGAGGGCAGUUGUUUUAGGAUUCUACCUAGGGUUGGCCGAGAAAGGAGAAGAAAUACGGUGUCUGCGCUAGCGCGUGCGCCCCGGGGUUAGACUUGGGUGCGCCCAGCGGACGUGGGUAGCGUGAGCUUCAUGCCUUCGGCCGGCCGUGUUAUACUCGUUAGACCCAAUUCACCAUGAAUCCUUUGAAAGACUAGUGGAGAGUGAGAAGGGGGUUUCAAAGUCACUGGAGUAAAGGAAUUCUCCAAGCACCACCUCAUGAUUAAUUCUUGGAAAAGCCUGUUUGCGCGGCCCUUAGAAUCAUUUUGACUUCUUGUCUAAUGGUGAAGUUUUUCUCUGUAAUCCUUCUACUCUGUUUUCUAAAACCAGAACUAAAAACCUAAAAAAUUGUAAAACUUCAUGGUGUAAUUAAAACCCCUUCACCAUUUUUUUUAAGUAAGAUUGUGUGGCCUUAUUGCACAAUUUAAAUUCCUGGAAAAACCUCUUCCCAUCUGCAGUGUACAAGCAUUCUAACAUAUUAUGUCUCCUCACAGGGUGUUUCCGCUUUUGCUUCCUCCUCAUUGUCUCUUGCCACCGUCAUGUAAGAAGUGCCUUUCACCCUCCUGCCAUGAUUCUGAGGCCUCCCAGCCAUGUGGAACUGUAA
rnacentral:lncRNA from 10 species